GAUACCGUUUAGAUGGAAAUGGCAUUAGGUACGUAGCUAAUUUAAUAGCAGCUGACGUGGAGCCUGCAACCAACCGUAACCACGCACUUGACGAGAUACAAAAGACGCUGAUCACAUUAAGGUACUUUGCAACGGGAAAGUUUCAGUUGUGUAAUGCAGAUGAUCAAGGUGUCACCCAGCCCACCAUUUCCAGAGUUGUAAAUCAGUGUAUCACCAGUUUGUCAUCUGAAAGGAUUGUUAAACAGUUUGUCCGCUUCCCCCUGCAACUCGGGGACAUUAGGCGUCACCAAACAAACUUUUAUCAUAUUGCGAACUUUCCCGGAGUUGUCGGGGUGAUCGAUGGAACCCACGUACAAAUCCAGGCACCAACAGUAAACGAAAAUGAAUUCGUAAACCGACAUCACUAUCACAGCAUAAAUACGCAGAUCGCUUUUGACAGCGACGACAGAGUCAUUGACGUUGUUGCUCGGUGGCCGGGAUCGACACACGAUUCACGCAUGUUGACAAACAGCGGGCUCUACCAGCUUUUCGAGCGCAAUGUUCUCCCCAUCGGAUGUCACCUCCUCGGUGACAGUGGUUAUCCCUGCAAGAAGUGGCUGCUUACCCCUUUCCUAAGACCAUUGCCGGGACCACAAACAAACUACAACAGGUAUGUAAAGUUUCGUGUUACGUUGCCGAUCGUAUUUAACAACUUAGAGUGAUGUCCCUUGUAUUUACCUCGAUUACAUAUUUGCCCAUUGCACAAACGCAAUAUUUGGUCUGGAUAAUCGAAGCAAUUACAAAAACAUUCUUAAUAAAAUACGGAAUAUUAUUCACACCAUAACCAUAUGUUUUUAUUUCAAAAUCUAUUAUUAUGUCUUUGUUAGUUGUUCUAAAUGUACAAGUAAUUAUGUGCUGUUUUGGUUAACAUGCUGAAUAUUUGUGGUAAUUAGGAAUAUUUUUUUUAAACAUUACCAGUAUGAAUUUCCUACAUAAUCCAAAGUGUAAAUUAUUGUUUUCACAUGAUCAAAAUUAUUUCUUCAACAAGUGACAUUUAUCAAUAAAAAGAUAAAUAUAUAUUUCUUAAACCCUGUUGAAGAUUAAUGUUACAGGUUACACUCUGAUAUGUUAUGUUUUUUUCAGGUCACACAAAAGAACCAGGAGCAUAGUAGAAAGGGCCAUCGGUCAACUGAAACGCAGAUUUCCUGUUCUCCAUGGGGAAAUCAGGUGAUAAUAGCAUGUGCUGUCCUACACAACAUAUGCAAGGACAGACAUAUCCCAGUUCCACCCACUGAUGGGCAUGAUGGACUUGGCAGGCUUGAUGGGCAGAAUGGAGCUCAAGCAGUGACUGCUCCACCAGUAGCUGCACUCAGAUACCGGGAGCACUUUGCCAAUACCAACUUUCCAUAGUUUCCACGGUUGGUGAAGUGAGGGACCCUGUGACAUCUGGCUCCUUAGAAUACAUGUUGGCUCCUUCUGGUUGAGGAUGUGGAUCUGACAUGGCAGUGUCAUAAAUCUCCCUGAAACAGAAAAUAUUAAAGUUUUAAUUGUAAUUUUCACAUAAAUGUUCUUUUCAAUUUCAACAAGCCUGUUGUUUUGUGUUAUUAUAAUGAGAACAUUUACAUUUAUAAUCAUAUCACAAUUGUUUAAAUAACAAUUGACUUAAUUUGUGCACAAUUGAGGUGUUGAUAUUAUAUAAAAAAAUAUACAUUUAUACUAAGUUUUCAAAUAAUAAUUAGGUCCACAGCAAGUGGUUUUAUAAGUUAUUCAUGGUGCAACAUUUAUACAAAAUUUCAUGUGAUUACAGAACAGCAAGCUAUACAUAUUAGGAUCCAGGGAAAAUGCAAAUAUUAGUAGUUUCAGUUAAAACUUUUUAGAUAGAUGCUAGCCUAGCUAAGGUAACAUGAACCUAUCUCCCAGACAUACUAUUCAACAAGACAAAAGUUAUGUAUACAUGGUUUUAUAGAUUCAAAGCUUUUAGAUAAAAACUAGCCAAAGGUAACAAGAUCCCAUCUCCCAGACAUAAUAUCUAAUAAGACAAAAGAUAGUGUUAUAGAUUGCCUUGAACUAUUUUAUUUAAGCAAAUCUGUCAUCACCUAUACUAGAAUAACAUUCAGAAAAUACUUCAAUUUGGACUCAUUAAGGAUAAGCCAUAUACAAGCUCGUCUAUAGUGAUACCAUAAUCUCUUUCCAAGCACCCAGUAUUUAUGUCAGAACAGAACCAUGAUAAUUUUCUAACCCGAAAGGUAUCUCAUAUCAUUG